UACAUGGGGUGCAAACGUUGCUCGGAAUUAUUGGGCGUAAAGCGCACGUAGGCGGUUUGUUAAGUCGGAUGUGAAAUCCCUCGGCUCAACUGAGGAAGUGCAUCCGAAACUGGCAAGCUUGAGUACGAAAGAGGAUCGCGGAAUUCCCGGUGUAGAGGUGAAAUGCGUAGAUAUCGGGAGGAACACCAGUGGCGAAGGCGGCUUCCUGGCCUGUUCUUGACGCUGAGGCGCGAAAGCUAGGGGAGCAAACGGG
rnacentral:rRNA from 1 species